rnacentral:rRNA from 1 species
CGCGUAGGUGGUUUGUUAAGUUGGAUGUGAAAGCCCCGGGCUCAACCUGGGAACUGCAUCCAAACUGGCAAGCUAGAGUACGGUAGAGGGUGGUGGAAUUUCCUGUGUAGCGGUGAAAUGCGUAGAUAUAGGAAGGAACACCAGUGGCGAAGGCGACCACCUGGACUGAUACUGACACUGAGGUGCGAAAGCGUGGGGAAGCAAACA